rnacentral:sRNA from 1 species
CAUUGUAAUAAAUUCUGUUCAUGAAGAUAAUUUAGGCUUUCAAAUAUGGAAGCAAAGUUCUAACUAAUAACCUUUAAUAAAAAAUAUUCAUGGUAGCACAUUAAAACAUUUGUUUUGGGAUAUAUUAUUGAAAAUGGCUUUUAACUUUUCUUGCCUCACUGGGGGAAGAGGAAAAUGGAAGUUGAAAGCACAUUAUCCUGUAAAAACAGCUAAGCAUUCAAUUGUUUGUCUGUUUUCCACAGAUGGGCGGAAGCCAUUUCCAAUUAACCAUGGUGAAACUAGUGAUGAAACUUUAUUAGAGGAUGCCAUAGAAGUUUGCAAGAAGUUUAUGGAGCGCGACCCUGAUGAACUAAGAUUUAAUGCGAUUGCUCUUUCUGCAGCAUAGCUUGUCAAUAAUGGAAACACCAAAAACUGUAUUAUUUGCAACUAAAUUUUCUCUGCCAUACACUAACUCAAAAAUUUUGAUAUUUUCAUUAACUUGAUGAUUAAACUUUAUGUGAGUUAAA